rnacentral:rRNA from 1 species
GAUGAACGCUGGCGGCGUGCCUAAUACAUGCAAGUCGAACGCACAGCGAAAGGUGCUUGCACCUUUCAAGUGAGUGGCGAACGGGUGAGUAACACGUGGACAACCUGCCUCAAGGCUGGGGAUAACAUUUGGAAACAGAUGCUAAUACCGAAUAAAACUCAGUGUCGCAUGACACAAAGUUAAAAGGCGCUUUGGCGUCACCUAGAGAUGGAUCCGCGGUGCAUUAGUUAGUUGGUGGGGUAAAGGCCUACCAAGACGAUGAUGCAUAGCCGAGUUGAGAGACUGAUCGGCCACAUUGGGACUGAGACACGGCCCAAACUCCUACGGGAGGCUGCAGUAGGGAAUCUUCCACAAUGGGCGAAAGCCUGAUGGAGCAACGCCGCGUGUGUGAUGAAGGCUUUCGGGUCGUAAAGCACUGUUGUAUGGGAAGAACAGCUAGAAUAGGGAAUGAUUUUAGUUUGACGGUACCAUACCAGAAAGGGACGGCUAAAUACGUGC